UACAUGGGGUGCAAACGUUGCUCGGAAUUAUUGGGCGUAAAGCGCACGUAGGCGGUCCACUAAGUCGAAUGUGAAAGCCCUCGGCUUAACCGAGGAAGUGCAUCCGAAACUGGCGGGCUUGAGUACGAAAGAGGGUCGCGGAAUUCCCGGUGUAGAGGUGAAAUUCGUAGAUAUCGGGAGGAACACCGGUGGCGAAGGCGGCGACCUGGGUCGCUUCUGCCGCUGAGGUGCGAAAGCGUGGGGCGCAAACAGG
rnacentral:rRNA from 1 species